UCCUGCCGGAGGCUACCGCUAUUGGAGUUCGAUUAAGCCAUGCGAGUCGAGAGUCUUAAGGACUCGGCGUACCGCUCAGUAACACGUGGGUAACCUGCCCUAUGCUGGGGAAUAACCUCGGGAAACUGAGAAUAAUGCCCCAUAGUUCACUACGCCUGGAACGGUGAGUGGAUGAAAGCUCCGGCGGCAUAGGAUGGGGCCUGCGGCGUAUCAGGUCGUAGGGGGUGUAACGUACCCUCUAGCCAUCGACGCGUACGGGUGUUGGGAGACAUAGCCCGGAGAUGGAUUCUGAGACACGAAUCCAGACCCUACGGGGUGCAGCAGGCGCGAAAACUUGGCAAUGCGAGAAAUCGUGACCAGGGAACUCCAAGUGGCUGGGGUAAGACCCAGUCUUUUCUUGACUCUUCAAAGGUCUUGGAAUAAGAGGUGGGUAAGGACGGUGCCAGCCGCCGCGGUAAUACCGGCGCCUCAAGUGGUAGUCGAUUUUAUUGGGCCUAAAACGUCCGUAGCCUGUUUGGUACAUUCGUGGGUAAAUCAACCAGCUCAACUGGUUGAAUUCUGCGAGCACGGCCAGACUUGGGACCGGGAGAGGUGUGGGGUACGCUCAGGGUAGGGGUAAAAUCCUGUCAUCCUGAGCGGACCACCUGUUGCGAAGGCGCCACACUAGAACGGAUCCGGCGGUCAGGGACGAAGCCUAGGGGCACGAACCGGAUUAGAUACCCGGGUAGUCCUAGGUGUAAACGCUGUGGACUUGGUGUUGGGGAUUCUCAGAGGAUUCUCAGUGCCGAAGCGAAGGUGAUAAGUCCACUGCCUGGGGAGUACGGUCGCAAGGCUGAAACUUAAAGGAAUUGGCGGGGGAGCUCCG
rnacentral:rRNA from 1 species